rnacentral:rRNA from 1 species
CUACGGGAGGCAGCAGUGGGGAAUUUUGCGCAAUGGGGGAAACCCUGACGCAGCAACGCCGCGUGGAGGAUGAAGUCCUUCGGGACGUAAACUCCUUUCGAUCGGGACGAUUAUGACGGUACCGGAAGAAGAAGCCCCGGCUAACUUCGUGCCAGCAGCCGCGGUAAUACGAGGGGGGCGAGCGUUGUUCGGAAUUAUUGGGCGUAAAGGGUGCGUAGGCGGUUUGGUAAGUCUUGUGUGAAAUCUCCGGGCUCAACUCGGAGCCUGCACGAGAAACUGCCGGGCUUGAGUAUGGGAGAGGUGAGUGGAAUUCCUGGUGUAGCGGUGAAAUGCGUAGAUAUCAGGAGGAACACCUGUGGCGAAAGCGGCUCACUGGACCAUAACUGACGCUGAUGCACGAAAGCUAGGGGAGCAAACAGGAUUAGAUACCCCGGU